rnacentral:rRNA from 1 species
GAUGAACGCUGGCGGCGUGCCUAAUACAUGCAAGUCGAGCGAACAGACGAGGAGCUUGCUCCUUUGACGUUAGCGGCGGACGGGUGAGUAACACGUGGGUAACCUACCUAUAAGACUGGGAUAACUUCGGGAAACCGGAGCUAAUACCGGAUAAUAUUUCGAACCGCAUGGUUCGAUAGUGAAAGAUGGCUUUGCUAUCACUUAUAGAUGGACCUGCGCCGUAUUAGCUAGUUGGUAAGGUAACGGCUUACCAAGGCAACGAUACGUAGCCGACCUGAGAGGGUGAUCGGCCACACUGGAACUGAGACACGGUCCAGACUCCUACGGGAGGCAGCAGUAGGGAAUCUUACGCAAUGGGCGAAAGCCUGACGGAGCAACGCCGCGUGAGUGAUGAAGGUCUUCGGAUCGUAAAACUCUGUUAUUAGGGAAGAACAAACGUGUAAGUAACUGUGCACGUCUUGACGGUACCUAAUCAGAAAGCCACGGCUAACUACGUG